GCCAUCGUCUCUUCGGACUGAAAAACGAAAGCCUUAUAGCUCGCUCUCAUUCUCCUGAUCGCCUGCAGCAGUGCAGAGGCUCUGCGGUGCAACCUAUGUCCAGUGUUUGGCCGCUGCACAGUGGAGACCUGCAGGGGACUCACAGACGUCUGCGGCCGUGUCGUCUCUUUACGUCACAGCUAUUCUCACAAGAAGUGCCUGAGCCCAACGGAGGUCUUGCAUUUAGAGUCCAAUUUGAGCUUUUACAUCUUUAAGUGUACCGCAGACCUGUGCAACUGAGGACGAUGAUCUGAAACAACGUGAACUCUGUUCCAGCCAUUGCGAUCAAAGUUUAAUGCCUGGUGUCUAAGUUCAAUAAUAAAGAAAAGGAAGAAAUA